GAUGAAGAACGUAGUGAAAUGCGAUAAGUAAUGUGAAUUGCAGAAUUCAGUGAAUCAUCGAAUCUUUGAACGCACAUUGCGCCCGCCAGAAUUCUGGCGGGCAUGCCUGUUCGAGCGUCAUUUCAACCCUCGGUCUCCCUCCGGGAGAGACCGGCGUUGGGGACCGGCACUUACCCCGCCGGCCCCGAAAUGAAGUGGCGGCCCGUCCGCGGCGACCUCUGCGUAGUAACUCCACUCGCACCGGGACCCGGGCGCGGCCACGCCGUAAAACCCCCAACUUCCGAAUGUUGACCUCGAAUCAGGUAGGAAUACCCGCUGAACUUAAGCAUAUCAAUAAGCGGAGGA
rnacentral:misc_RNA from 1 species